rnacentral:rRNA from 1 species
GCAGCUUACACAUGCAAGUCGAGCGGGGGAAGGUAGCUUGCUACUGGACCUAGCGGCGGACGGGUGAGUAAUGCUUAGGAAUCUGCCUAUUAGUGGGGGACAACAUCUCGAAAGGGAUGCUAAUACCGCAUACGUCCUACGGGAGAAAGCAGGGGAUCUUCGGACCUUGCGCUAAUAGAUGAGCCUAAGUCGGAUUAGCUAGUUGGUGGGGUAAAGGCCUACCAAGGCGACGAUCUGUAGCGGGUCUGAGAGGAUGAUCCGCCACACUGGGACUGAGACACGGCCCAGACUCCUACGGGAGGCAGCAGUGGGGAAUAUUGGACAAUGGGGGGAACCCUGAUCCAGCCAUGCCGCGUGUGUGAAGAAGGCCUUAUGGUUGUAAAGCACUUUAAGCGAGGAGGAGGCUACUUUAGUUAAUACCUAGAGAUAGUGGACGUUACUCGCAGAAUAAGCACCGGCUAACUCUGUGCCAGCAGCCGCGGUAAUACAGAGGGUGCGAGCGUUAAUCGGAUUUACUGGGCGUAAAGCGUGCGUAGGCGGCUUAUUAAGUCGGAUGUGAAAUCCCCGAGCUUAACUUGGGAAUUGCAUUCGAUACUGGUGAGCUAGAGUAUGGGAGAGGAUGGUAGAAUUCCAGGUGUAGCGGUGAAAUGCGUAGAGAUCUGGAGGAAUACCGAUGGCGAAGGCAGCCAUCUGGCCUAAUACUGACGCUGAGGUACGAAAGCAUGGGGAGCAAACAGGAUUAGAUACCCUGGUAGUCCAUGCCGUAAACGAUGUCUACUAGCCGUUGGGGCCUUUGAGGCUUUAGUGGCGCAGCUAACGCGAUAAGUAGACCGCCUGGGGAGUACGGUCGCAAGACUAAAACUCAAAUGAAUUGACGGGGGCCCGCACAAGCGGUGGAGCAUGUGGUUUAAUUCGAUGCAACGCGAAGAACCUUACCUGGCCUUGACAUACUAGAAACUUUCCAGAGAUGGAUUGGUGCCUUCGGGAAUCUAGAUACAGGUGCUGCAUGGCUGUCGUCAGCUCGUGUCGUGAGAUGUUGGGUUAAGUCCCGCAACGAGCGCAACCCUUUUCCUUACUUGCCAGCAUUUCGGAUGGGAACUUUAAGGAUACUGCCAGUGACAAACUGGAGGAAGGCGGGGACGACGUCAAGUCAUCAUGGCCCUUACGGCCAGGGCUACACACGUGCUACAAUGGUCGGUACAAAGGGUUGCU